AGGAUUUCCAACCUAUUCUCUGCCCUAUAAUCUACUGAACUACCCUGGUGUGUCUAUGCCUGUUACCAAGGUAACAGAAGAAGAUGUAAAGGCGACUUAUAAAGCUAAAUCAUUGAUGGAAUACUCAGUGAAAAAUUCAAUUCCAGGCAGCGUUGGUCUUCCAGUCAACAUCCAAAUUAUUGUUCCUACAUAUAAGGACGAGCUUGCAUUACGUAUCAUGAAAGAACUGGAUAGUGAACUGAAGAAGAAAACCAACUAGCGUGUAUAAGCACCCUUACUUCAUCAAAUUCCAGUGAUGUAUGAUGACUGGUAUCACAUUGAUUCCACUUUAGAAGAAGGUUGAUAUUGUGUUGCAGGACCUUGGUUUUCUUUAUAAAGAAUAAUGGCAUUUAA